rnacentral:rRNA from 1 species
UGCCAGCCGCCGCGGUAACACGGGGGGCGCAAGCGUUAUUCGGAAUUAUUGGGCGUAAAGGGCGCGUAGGCGGUCUUGUCAGUCAGAUGUGAAAGCCCCGGGCUUAACCUGGGAACUGCAUUUGAUACUGAUAGGCUAGAGUAUGGGAGAGAGAAGUGGAAUUCCACAUGUAGCGGUGAAAUGCGUAGAUAUGUGGAGGAACAUCAGUGGCGAAGGCGACUUCUUGGCCCAAGACUGACGCUCAGGUGCGAAAGCGUGGGGAGCAAACAGGAUUAGAUA